AUUACUCCUACGGGAGGCAGCAGUGGGGAAUAUUGCACAAUGGGCGAAAGCCUGAUGCAGCAACGCCGCGUGAGUGAAGAAGGUCUUCGGAUUGUAAAGCUCUGUCUUUUGGGACGAUAAUGACGGUACCAAAGGAGGAAGCCACGGCUAACUACGUGCCAGCAGCCGCGGUAAUAAU
rnacentral:rRNA from 1 species